GGGAUAUAAGAAACUGUCUUUUGACUUUAACUAAAAAAGCUAAGAACCACUCUUAGAUAUUUAAGGGUCGGUUUUUAGUUUUUUUAGUUAAAAGUUAAGAGACGGUUUUUUUAUAUUCC
rfam:Brassica napus, WGS project CCCW01000000 data, contig: 25758